AUGGGUACCUGCAUGGCCCCACAGUAUGCCAACAUUUUUAUGGCUAUCUUAGAACAACACUUCCUCAGCUCUCGUCCCCUAACGCCCCUACUCUACUUGUGCUACAUUGAUGACAUCUUCAUCAUCUGGACCCAGGGGAAAGAGGCCCUUGAGGAAUUCCACCAGGAUUUCAACAAUUUCCACCCCACCAUCAACCUCAGCCUGGACCAGUCCACACAAGAGAUCCACUUCCUGGACACUACAGUGCAAAUAAGCAAUGGUCACAUAAACACCACCCUAUACUGGAAACCUACUGACUGCUAUACUUACCUACAUGCCUCCAGCUUUCAUCCAGACUACAUCACACGAUCCAUUGUCUACAGCCAAGCUCUAAGAUACAACGGCAUUUGCUCCAAUCCCUCAGACAGAGACAAACACCUACAGGAUCUCUAUCAAGUGUUCUUAAAACUACAAUACCCACCUGGUGAAGUGAAGAAACAGAUUGACACAGUCAGAAGGGUACCCAGAAGUCACCUACUACAGGACAGGCCCAACAAAGAAAGUAACAGAACGCCACUAGCCGUCACCUUCAGCCCCCAACUAAAACCUCUCCAGCGCAUCAUCAAGGAUCGACAACCUCUCCUGAAGGACGAUCCCUCACUCUCACAGACCUUGGGAGACAGGCCAGUCCUCGCUUAUAGACAGCCCCCCAACCUGAAGCAAAUACUCACCAGCAACUAUACACCACACAACAAAAACACUAACCCAGGAACCUAUCCCUGGAACAAAUCCCGUUGCCAACUCUGUCCACAUAUCUAUUCAAGGGACACCAUCAUAGGACCUAACCACAUCAGCCACCCCAUCAGGGGCUCGUUUACCUGCACAUCUACCAAUGUGAUAUAUGCCAUCAUGUGCCAGCAAUGCCCCUCUGCCAUGUACAUUGGCCACACCAGACAGUCUCUACACAAAAGAAUAAAUGGACACAAAUCAGACGUCAAGAAUUCUAACAUUCAAAAACCAGUUGGAGAACACUUCAACCUCCCUGGUCACUCAAUAACAGACUUAAAAGUGGCAAUUCUUCAACAACAAAACUUCAAAAACAGACUCCAACGAGAAACUGCAGAACUGGAAUUAAUUUGCAAACUGGACACCAUCAAAUUAGGCCUGAAUAAAGACUGGGAGUGGAUGGGUCACUACAAAAACUAA
rnacentral:lncRNA from 1 species